GGAGCUUGCAGUGAGCCGAGAUUGUGCCACUGCACUCCAACCUGGGCAACAGAGCGAGACUCUGUCUCAAAAAGAAAUAAAAAAUUAGCCAGGCUUGGUGGCACGCGCCUGUCGUCCCAGCUACUCAGGAGGCUGAGGCAGGAGAAUUGCUUGAACCUGGGAGGUGGAGGUUGCAGUGAGCCAAGAUCAUGCCACUGCACUCCAGCCUGGUGACAGAGCAAGACUCCGUCUCAAAAAAGAAAGAAAAAGUUAAUGCAUGAAGAUUUCCAUGUACUUUUAGUCUGUCAGUAGGCACCAUUGAAGCAGGUAAAAAAAAAAAAGGAAAUCUUUAAACAGUGUAAACCAAAACUAUCUGAGACAGAUCUCAAUCAAUUUAGAAGUUUAUUUUGCCAAAGUUAAGGACCUGCCUGUAAGAAAAAAACAGAAUCACAGAAACAGUCUGUGGUCUGUGCCUUUCUCCAAGGAUGAAUUUGAGGGCUUAAAAGUUUUAAAAAGAAAAAGGGCUGGACGGAGUGGCUCACGGCAGUAAUCCCAACACUUUGGGAGGCCAAUAUAAGAGAAUCAGUUGAGCCCAGGACCUCGAGACCAGCCUGGGCAACAUAGCAAAACCCCCUUUCUACAAAAAAAUACAAAAAAUUAGCCAGGCGUGGUGGUACAUGCCUGCAGUCCCAGCUACUUGGGAAGCUGAGGUGGGAGGAUCCCCUGAGCCCAGGAGGUCAAGGGUGCAGUGAGCCGUGAUCGCAUUGUUGCGCUGCAGCCUGGACAACAGAGUCAGAGCCUGUCUCAAAAAAAAUAAAAAGUAAAAUAAAGGGGAAAUGCGGGCUGGAGGGGAAAGUAGGAGGGUAUGGUCAUCCACAUGUUGCAAGAGAAAAGGAGCAGAUAGGGGAAAGUCAAUUAUGUAUUCAUCUCAUGCCCGGUAAAUCGGCACUUCACAUAAGGUAAGGUGAACAUAAAGUAGCUGCCUGUGGGGAUAUUUAACGUUUUAUCUGUAGGUGUCUGCUUAGCAACAAAAGGAAAGGCAGUUUCUUGCAUGACUCAGCUUUCAGCUUAAUUUUUUCCUUUUGACAGAGCAAAUUGGGAUCCUGAAUUUUUAUUUUUCUUUGACAACAGAAAUCAACACAGAUCUCUUUUAGUUACCUAAUUCUUGAUGGACAUCAGGAUGUUGACCACUUUUAGUAAUAUUUAAUAUAUAUCUUAUUUGUUCCAUUUAUCCCCCGAGUAUUGUAGCCACAUUUAAAGUGAAAAUUUCCUGUGUCAAAUUAACUUUUCCAAUAUUUUUUGUCCAUUUUUUCCAUGUCUGCUUGAAUUGAAUUCGCUCCAGGUUUCCAUUAACUUUGGACCAUGCUUCAAGUAUCCUCCGAAGGAUCUCACUUACCGCCCUAUGAGUGACAUGGGCUGGGGCGCCGUGGUAGAGCACACCCUGGCUGACGUCUUGUAUCACGUGGAGACAGAAGUGGAUGGGAGGCGCAGUCCCCCAUGGGAACCCUGACCAGGUCCCUCUUUUCUGUCAAGGACUUUCUGGGAAUAAUACUGGGGGUUUUGUUUUUGUUUUUGAACUGUCUCAAAUGUUCUCCCAAAGAUGCUAAAAACACAGCCUCUCCUUUUAGCAAGUUAAAAGGCUGGGUAGGACUGCGGGAGACUGCCUGCCUUUCACCAUUUUCUCCCCACUUCCAGUGACUGCUCUUAUUUUGUGUACCAUAAGCCAACAACCGCUGACUCCAGGAUUGCAUAAGCCCCCUGUGAAAUCGGUGCUGUACUGCAUACCCUGCCAGCUGUGACUUGUUAUCCUACUAUAUUUUCUAAGGAGUGAAUAAUAUUGUCCGAGUAACUAACUUAUUUAAAAGACAUUUCCUUCUGUGGGCAUUGACUGUAUCCCACCUGUUUUCCAAGGAAAUGGUAACCUGUUUCUGAGAACACCUGAAAUCAAUGGCUAUACAUUCCAAACCAAUCUAAACGCUAUUUCCUUUUGGUGUGGGUUUGGUUUUGUUCAUUUUGAAAUACACUUUUGAACACUGAGAUCCGUAAAACUACUAGAUCUCUGGAAGUGUAAUUGUGAAAGAAACUUGCUUGCAGCUUUAACAAAAUGAGAAACUUCCCAAAUAAAACUUGUUUUGAAGUU
rnacentral:lncRNA from 10 species